ACGGAGGGAGCUAGCGUUGUUCGGAAUUACUGGGCGUAAAGCGUACGUAGGCGGUUAUUCAAGUCAGAGGUGAAAGCCUGGAGCUCAACUCCAGAACUGCCUUUGAAACUAGAUAGCUAGAAUCACGGAGAGGUUAGUGGAAUUCCGAGUGUAGAGGUGAAAUUCGUAGAUAUUCGGAAGAACACCAGUGGCGAAGGCGACUAACUGGACGUGUAUUGACGCUGAGGUACGAAAGCGUGGGGAGCAAACAGGUUUAGAUACCCUGGUAGUCCACGCCGUAAACGAUGAUAACUAGCUGUUCGGUCUCUACGAGACUGAGUGGCGCAGCUAACGCAUUAAGUUAUCCGCCUGGGGAGUACGGUCGCAAGAUUA
rnacentral:rRNA from 1 species